GUGCACUGGCAGAUGUCGAAGCAGCACUGAAAAAUCAUACAAACUCCUUAUUUACACAGAAAUCUUUCAAAUCUAUACAGAGUGACUUUAGUAUAGAAGACACACCCUCUGCAGCCUACAGCAGCACUACACUGCCCAAGGUGUACCCAGGAGAGGACUCAUGCCACCUUUUGACAAUGAUGACAGACCAUUUUGCUGACUUACAAAGUCUGAAGAUAUUGUGUGCCUGCACAGGUGGAAAGAGUGUACCACUUGAGGCAGGAGGUGAGGUGUGAGCCCAAUGGUUUAUUUUCAUGCUUCACAGGAAUAUCACAAUCCAUGUCUCUGACAGCUGAGACUUUACCUUUAAUUAAUGGUCAGAAACCUUUCUACUAAAUUUAUUUUUCAGUCUUCCAAUCACACUUUUUUAUUUGUUUUCAGUUUGCUUCCUAGCACUGUUAUCUUGGGUAAAUCUCCCUCUGCUCCUGUUUUUUUGACCUGCUGUUACUCUUAAAACAUGAACCAUUUUCCAUCAUUUCUCUUCCCUCUUCACUGGAAUUUUAUUAAUCUCUAAAAUUCUCCCUUUGCCAUAAAAAGAGGAGUUCUGAAAAGGGGGAGUCUGUUUUAAAGGAAGUCUAGCUAAAUUCUUUUUUGCUCAAGUAACGUUUCUGAAAAUCCUAACCUACCAACAAACUAGAUGAUGCUUUAACUUAUGUUCUGGCUUUCUCCUAGGCCUUGGGCACUGCUCCUGCAAGGAGUACCAUGUCAAGCACUUAACAAAUGCUUGAGCAGUUACUUUGGAUCUAAAUUCAGAGGCAAUAUCAAUCAAUGUAGUAUAAAAUUUUUCAGCUCUUUCCUACAAGGCCAUUUCUGGAAUUGCUGGAAGCAAUACUAGUCAGCUGCAGUGAAUUUAAUAAAUAUUUUGUCAGACGAUGCAAUUAAGCCUGGUGUUUAUUAUCCUGUAAACAUUUAUAGAGCAGCACCCAGCAUUAGACUGUAGGCUUUUUCUUACCGUUGAAACUCUGCUUUACACUGUACUAAUGCAGCUUCAGGGAGCAUUUUAUUACUGGCCUUGAAGUAAUUGUUAGGUUUAAAUAUGUAACUAUUUAUAUAAAUUAAGAAAUAACUCUUGGCAUGGCUUGCUUAUUAACCA